CUACGGGACGCUGCAGUGGGGAAUAUUGGACAAUGGGGGGAACCCUGAUCCAGCAAUGCCGCGUGUGUGAAGAAGGCCUUCGGGUUGUAAAGCACUUUCAGUAGGGAAGAAAUACUCAAGGUUAAUACCCUUGAGGGCUGACAUUACCUACAGAAGAAGCACUGGCUAACUCUGUGCCAGCAGCCGCGGUAAUACAGAGAGUGCAAGCGUUAAUCGGAAUUACUGGGCGUAAAGCGCGCGUAGGUGGAUAUUUAAGUCGGAUGUGAAAUCCCCGGGCUUAACCUGGGAAUUGCAUUCGAUACUGGGUAUCUAGAGUAUGGUAGAGGGAAGUGGAAUUUCCGGUGUAGCGGUGAAAUGCGUAGAUAUCGGAAAGAACACCAGUGGCGAAGGCGGCUUCCUGGACCAAUACUGACACUGAGGUGCGAAAGCGUGGGGAGCAAACAGGAUUAGAUACCCUCGUAGUC
rnacentral:rRNA from 1 species